AAAUGACUCUCGGCAACGGAUAUCUCGGCUCUUGCAUCGAUGAAGAACGUAGCAAAAUGCGAUACGUGGUGUGAAUUGCAGAAUUCUGUGAACCAUCGAGUUUUUGAACGCAAGUUGCGCCCAAUGUCAUUUGGCUGAGGGCACGUUUGCCUGGGCGUCACGC
rnacentral:rRNA from 1 species